rnacentral:rRNA from 1 species
CAAGGAAUCUUCCGCAAUGGGGGCAACCCUGACGGAGCAACGCCGCGUGGGGGAUGACGCCCUUCGGGGUGUAAACCCCUUUUCUGCGGGAAGAAGGUGGGGCGACCCACUUGACGGUACCGGAGGAAGAAGGACCGGCUAACUACGUGCCAGCAGCCGCGGUAAUACGUAGGGUCCGAGCGUUGUCCGGAGUUACUGGGCGUAAAGCGCGCGCAGGCGGCGGUGCUGGCCCGGCGUGAAAGCCCCCGGCUCAACCGGGGAGGGUCGUCGGGGACCGCACCGCUUGAGGGCGGUAGGGGCUGGUGGAAUGCCUGGUGUAGUGGUGAAAUGCGUAGAGAUCAGGCGGAACACCCGUGGCGAAGGCGGCCAGCUGGGCCGUCCCUGACGCUGAGGCGCGAAGGCGUGGGGAGCGAACGGG